UUAACAGAAUAGUGUUGGUGCUAGUUUUAGCAAAAUAAGCACGAAAUGAACAUCUCCUGUGAAUUUCAUUGAAAAAUUCGUAAUAUUUCUCUCAAAACAAGUGAGGGGAGAACACAUGGAGUCGGAGCCAAUUUUAUAAUUAAUUCUGUGUGUUAUAGGUUCCGUUGUUGUGCAAUCAACAUCAACUAAUUGUUCAAUAUGUUCGCAUUGACACGUACUGCUUCAAACGCCCCAAAGCGGCUGUGCGUUGUAAGCAGGAUUUGCCGAAGCGAUUAUGCCGCUUUGGAACCAAUCAUCUGCCGUGAAAUCAUGGAAUUGCACCAUCAGAAGCAUCAUUAACAUAUGUGCACAACUUGAAUGCUGCCAAGGAGCAGUUUGCUGAAGCACAGAAAAGUUGAUGUGACUACGACCAUCCCAUGUUGAAGCUAUCUGGGAUGCCGCCAACUGGAAGGAUAUCUUUAAUCACUUCGUUGCCGCUGCUAAGAGAUGUUUGUGUCAUCCAAGCUUUAAUUGACCUAGAGAAAAAUGAGGAAAAUUGUAACGCACGAAUUGCAUCCCGGUAGGAAAGCUCGCGCGGUUACCAACCACAACAAACUGGUGUAUCCUUUACAUGGCUUACUUCCAUAUGAACACACAAAUCCGCGAACAGACACAGGCCUUAAAUCGUAGUUUUCGCGUAGUGAUUUUUUGCGUUACAAAUUCAAAAGUGUUUGUUACUAUAAUUCGGAUUAUGUUAUCGUUUUUCAAACAUUCUCCUUUAUGUACAAAAUAAUGUGGUUUACUUUCGCAGGUUUUCUCAUUAAGGUUGUGCAAUUUAUUAUGUUUUGUAGCUUUAGAAAACUGGGAUAAAAAAUUUACAAAUUGUUGUAGUUGAAUGCCAAGAUAUAAUUACAAAAAUGGUUAAUAUAGGCUAAUUUAAUAAUUUCACUUUUCCCUAAUAUGGUUUUUGUACCAGUGAAAUAAAAUUUAUGUGAAUAGCAUUGUAAUGUAAUAUUUGUGUAUUUUACACAAUAUUAAUGCUAAUGGAACAUCUGGGACCUAUGUUGUGGGUGCAUAAGUAUAAAGCGAAAUUCAAUAAACUGAAUAUAAUCAAUGAAAUUAAGAAAA